AACGUAGGUGGCGAGCGUUAUCCGGAUUUACUGGGCGUAAAGCGUGUGCAGGCGGGGUGAUAAGUGGGGUAUGAAAUUUCCCAGCUUAACUGGGAGGGGUUAUGCCAGACUGUCACUCUAGAGUGCGAGAGAGGAACGUGGAAUUCCGGGUGUAGUGGUGAAAUGCGCAGAUAUCAGGAGGAACACCGAUGGCGAAGGCAGGUCUCUGGGCCGAUACUGACGCUGAGGAGCGAAAGCGUGGGGAGCGAACAGG
rnacentral:rRNA from 1 species